CCUGUGGAGUGUUAUACCAAAUGUUAGUAGUAUGCUGUGAAAGCUACAAGAACAGACACGUUGAAACAGGAA
rnacentral:sRNA from 12 species